GAUCUUUGGCCGUGAGGCGUACUGAUUUCGGCUCAGUAAGAAUGGCUGAGCCAUAAAGAUUU
rnacentral:tRNA from 1 species